GCUAUUGUAGCUCAGUCGGUAGAGCACCACAUUGGUAGUGUGGAGGUCACGAGUUCGAUUCUCGUCAAUAGCUCCA
rnacentral:tRNA from 1 species